GACGAACGCUGGCGGCGUGCUUAACACAUGCAAGUCGAACGGAAAGGCCCCUUUGGGGGUACUCGAGUGGCGAACGGGUGAGUAACACGUGAGUAACCUGCCCUUGACUUCGGGAUAACUUCAGGAAACUGGGGCUAAUACCGGAUAGGAAUCCUUGCUGCAUGGUGGGGGUUGGAAAGCUUCGGCGGUUUUGGAUGGACUCGCGGCUUAUCAGCUUGUUGGUGGGGUAGUGGCUUGCCAAGGCUUUGACGGGUAGCCGGCCUGAGAGGGCGACCGGCCACAUUGGGACUGAGAUACGGCCCAGACUCCUACGGGAGGCAGCAGUGGGGAAUAUUGCACAAUGGGCGGAAGCCUGAUGCAGCAACGCCGCGUGCGGGAUGACGGCCUUCGGGUUGUAAACCGCUUUCAGCAGGGGCGAAGCUUUUGUGACGGUACCUGCAGAAGAAGCACCGGCUAACUACGUG
rnacentral:rRNA from 1 species